GACAGAGGGUGCAAACGUUGUUCGGAAUUACUGGGCGUAAAGCGCGUGUAGGCGGCCCUGCAAGUCGGAUGUGAAAUCCCACGGCUCAACCGUGGAAGUGCAUUCGAAACUGCAGGGCUAGAGUCCUGGAGAGGAAGGUGGAAUGCUUGGUGUAGAGGUGAAAUUCGUAGAUAUCAAGCGGAACACCGGUGGCGAAGGCGGCCUUCUGGACAGUGACUGACGCUGAGACGACGAAAGCGGUGGGGAGCAAACAGG
rnacentral:rRNA from 1 species